UGAACUGCUUGGAGGAAAAGGCAGCAGCAGGAUCAGGUCUGGACUGUUGCUAAGAGAAAAACAAUUCCUGGCAAAUUCCUCGAAGUGCUUGCCUCAUACAGUUUGGAUGGAGACAGUUUUUCCAAGAAAGAUGGGGGCAACAACAGCAGUUCAAAGGACACCAGUGGGACAAAAGAGCUUCCUGCAGCCGCCAGGAAUGUGCAUGGAUGCUUCACCUGGGCUUUUGCACACACUCCAGCUGGUUUGUGUGGAAGGGCUCGUUUCCUGGCUCCUUGUGCUGUACUGUUCUGAUGGUUCUGUGCUUCCCAGCACCAGUCCUGAGCUCUAA
rnacentral:lncRNA from 1 species